UACGUAGGGGGCAAGCGUUGUCCGGAUUUAUUGGGCGUAAAGAGCGUGUAGGCGGCUUGGUAGGUCCGCUGUGAAAACUCGAGGCUCAACCUCGAGAUGUCGGCGGAAACCACUUGGCUAGAGUCCGGAAGAGGAGAGUGGAAUUCCAGGUGUAGCGGUGAAAUGCGUAGAUAUCUGGAGGAACACCGGUGGCGAAGGCGGCGUUCUGGACUGUCUCUGACACUGAAGAACGAAAGCCAGGGGAGCAAACGGG
rnacentral:rRNA from 1 species